UACAGAGGGGGCAAGCGUUGUUCGGAAUUACUGGGCGUAAAGGGCGCGUAGGCGGCCUGCUAAGUCGAACGUGAAAUCCCUGGGCUCAACCCAGGAACUGCGUCCGAUACUGGUUGGCUUGAAUCCGGGAGAGGGAUGUGGAAUUCCAGGUGUAGCGGUGAAAUGCGUAGAUAUCUGGAGGAACACCGGUGGCGAAGGCGACAUCCUGGACCGGCAUUGACGCUGAGGCGCGAAGCCAGGGAGCAA
rnacentral:rRNA from 1 species